rnacentral:tRNA from 1 species
GCGAGCGUAGUUCAAUGUAGCGAGCGUAGUUCAAUGGUAAAACAUCUCCUUGCCAAGGAGAAGAUACGGGUUCGAUUCCCGCCGCUCGCC